rnacentral:lncRNA from 1 species
AUUCAUAUCAAAUAAAGCUCUGAAUUUUCUUUUGACAAAAUUGCAAGACUUUUAGGAGCUCUCUGCUAAGCACAUAGGACAAACACCAAACAUUUAUUAUCAUACCACAAAAUCUCAUACCAAUUAGAAGUCAUUCCACAUUUCCCCUUCUCUAGCAAAUACUAAUCUACAUUUUGUUUCUAUAGAUUUGCCUAUUUUGGACACUUCUAACAAAGAGUCAUGUAAUAUGUAGUCUAUAAUAUGUCUAUAAUAUGUAGAAAGCCUGCUUCUUUCAUUUAGUAUAAUGUUUUCAAGGUUCAUCUAUGUUAUAGCACAAUCAGUACUUCAUUCCUCUUUUUGGCAAAAUAUUCCUUAGUAUGGAUAUAACACAUUUUGUUUACCCAACUGUCAGUUGAUAAAUAUUUGGACUGUGUCCACCUUUUCGUUAUUAAAAGAAAUGCUACUUGAAUAUGAGUGUAAAAUUUUGAUGAAAUUAAUAUGUAUAUUUUUCCUUUACACUUGUGCUUUUAGUAUCAAACCCAGGAAACAAUUAUCUAAUCCAAGGUCUCAAAUGUUUAGUCUAUGUUUUCUUCUAACAAUUUCAUAGUUUGAGGUCUUAUAUCUAGGUCUUUGACCCAUUUUGAGUUAAAUUUUUGUAUAUAAUGUGAGGUAAGGGUCCAACUUUUUUUUUAUGCAUAUAGAUUUCCAGUUGUCCCAGCACAAAUCUGGACUCAUUGAUCUUAUAUCAAUCUUCAUAUAGUCUCACACUGUUUUGACUACUAUUACUUUGACGUAAAUUUUGAAGUUAAGAAGUGUCUCUGCUCUUUGUUCUUUUCCAACAUUGUUUCACUAUUCUGGGCCCCUUUUCUUUCCAUAUAAAUUAAAGGAUUAUCCUGUCAAUUUUACAAAAAAAAAAAAAGUCAUUUUGGAUUUAAAAGGGAUUACAUCAAUUCUCGAUCAAUUUAGAAAGGAUUUCCAUCUUAACAAUAUUAAGUCUUCUAAUCCAUGUAUUUCUAUUAUUUAGGUCUUUUUUCAUUUUUUCAAUGAUGUUUUAUAGUCUUCAAUGUAUAAGUCGCACACUUAUUUAUUCCUAAAUGUUUUAUCUUUUUUAUGUUACAAUAAACAAAAAUGUCUUAAUUUCAUUUUUGGAUUAUUCAUUGCUAAGUGAACAGAGUUUUGCAUAUUGAUUUUGUAUACUACAACCUUGCUGAACUCAUUUAUUCCGAUAUUCUGAUAUUUGUACGUGUUUGCACUCCUUAGGAUUUUCUAUAUACAACAUUGUCAUCUGUGAAUAUAGGUAAUUUUAUUACUUCCUUUCCAAUCUGGAUGACUUAUAUAUUUUUUUUUUUUUAUCUAAUUGUCCUAGUUUGUUCCUUUAGUACAAUGGUGAAUAGAAAUUAUUAGAGUGGACAUCACUAUCUUAUUCCUAAUCUUAGGAGUAAAAUUACCAGUCUUUUACCAUUAAGUGAAUGUUAGCCUUGUAUUUUUCAUAGAUGUCCUUUAUAAAAUUGAAGAUAUUUCCUGUAUUUCUACUAUGUUGAGUAUUUUUAUCAUGAAAGUGUGCUUGAUUUUCUUCAAAUGCUUUUUCUGUAUCUUCUGAGGUGAUCACAGGUCUUUAUGUUUAUUUUGAGUAUAAUAUGGUUUAUUAUACUGAUUGGUGAAUCAGCCUUGCAUUCCUGAAAUAAACUCCACUUAAUCACAGUGUAUAAUCUUUUUUAUAUGUCUGCUUAACCAUGUUAUUGAGGAAUUUUGGGCUUCACAUCCACAAAGUUAUCAGUCUGUAGUUUUCUUUUCUUGCAACAUCUUUAUCUGGUUUUAAUAUCAGAGUAAUAAUGGUUUCAUAAAAUUAUUUGGAAAUCUUUUCUUCCUCUUCUACCAUUUAUAAAAUAAGAGAAAAUGUUUAAAAAAGCUUUACAAGAUUUUACAUAGUUAUUCAAGAUUCAGAUUUUGAGCAGGGGUGGUGGGGUGAGGGGUGGGGAGGAGAUAAUUAUAGAAAAUAUUUGCAGGAGCAUAGACCUCUACAUUUGGCCAUGGUAUAGAAACUAGCAUUGGACUUAUCCUUCACUAUAAACCAUUACAAAGCUGGGCAAAAUAUAUGAUUUACGCUUUUAUAAACUGAACAGCCAGUAGUAAAAAGAGAAGCAUAUCAGGGAAGCUUUGGGUUUUUUCUAUACCAUAGUGCAGUGAGGAAGAGCUGCAGUAGAAAGUAUAAGCCUCAUUGAGCUGACAAGGCAAAAAUUGGAGGUUGAGUUAUUGAAGCAACUGGAAUUUAUGGGACAGGAUUCUUGGAGGAGAGAGUUGUGAUGAGGAGGUUACACAGAAAUAUAAAUAGGAGUUCCCUUGGUGUUUGGCCA